CUUCCAUGUAUGAUGAACCAUUGCGGAUGUAAACAUUUGUCACGUCGGAAAAGCGCAAAAAAACAAUGUCGAAAUUUCCGUUGCCUUCCUUCUGAUCAUGGAC
rnacentral:snoRNA from 1 species